CCUACGGGAGGCAGCAGUGGGGAAUAUUGCACAAUGGGGGGAACCCUGAUGCAGCGACGCCGCGUGAGUGAAGAAGUAUUUCGGUAUGUAAAGCUCUAUCAGCCAGGAAGAAAAUGACGCUACCUGACUACGAAGCCCCGGCUAACUACGUGCCAGCAGCCGCGGUAAUACGGAGGGCGCAAGCGUUAUCCGGAUUUACUGGGUGUAAAGGGAGCGUAGACGGUUAUGCAAGUCUGAAGUGAAAGCCUAAGGCUCAACCAUGGGACUGCUUUGGAAACUGUAAAACUGGAGUGCAGGAGAGGUAAGCGGAAUGCCUAGUGUAGCGGUGAAAUGCGUAGAGAUCAGGCGGAACACCAGUGGCGAAGGCGGCUUACUGGACUGUAACUGACGUUGAGGCUCGAAGGCGUGGGGAGCAAACAGGAUUAGAUACCCUGGUAGUC
rnacentral:rRNA from 1 species